CGUGUAGGCGGUUGGUCAAGUCUGGUGUGAAAGCCCGGGGCUUAGCUCCGGAAGUGCACUGGAAACUAGCCAACUUGAGCGCGAUAGAGGAGGGUGGAAUUCCUGGUGUAGCGGUGAAAUGCGUAGAGAUCAGGAGGAACACCGGUGGCGAAGGCGGCUUUCUGGGCUGUAACUGACGCUGAGGCGCGAAAGCGUGGGGAGCAAACAGGAUUAGAUACCCUGGUAGUCCACGCGGUAAACGAUGAUUACUAGGUGUAGGGGACGCAGGUCUUCUGUGCCGGAGCAAACGCAAUAAGUAAUCCGCCUGGGGAGUACGGCCGCAAGGUUGAA
rnacentral:rRNA from 1 species